GGUGGGGUGGCAGAGCGGUUGAACGCGCCGGACUUGAAAUCCGGUAUGCCCCUCGGGGCAUCAGGGGUUCGAAUCCCCUCCCCACCG
rnacentral:tRNA from 2 species